AUUAAGUGACAUGUUUUGGAAACAUUGAAUGGUUGGGCCUGGGUGAUUAUAGAGCACCAUUACAGGCCAGGAUGCCAGGCCAGCAGAGAGCUGACCCUGAAGGGCUCUGGAAGCCUUGAUGCGAAAGAAGUUGCAUGCUGAUCUGAAGGUUAUAAGAAGCCAGUGAAGAAUUUCAUCUGGAGGAGUAAGAUGAUCUUAUUUAUUUUAAAAGAUCACACUGCCCUUGAAGUGGACGGUGGACCAACUAUAGCGAGAUUUGGAGAUUAAGAAGCAAAGGAGAUAAACAUGAAUCUCUUCCAGAAGACCCAGGAAAAAUACCAUUGCGACCUGAUGGCUCUGAUUGGGUCACAUAUUCAAGCAUGUAAAGUGUCCAGGACUUCUGUGUGUCCAGAACUCCCUUCUGCAGCAUGUGACAAAAACUGCCCUCCAACUUUGCUGACUUUGUCAGGUAGUCC